AAGCCACCAUCUGUUCCGGCCGUCAUGACAGUGUUUUUAAAAAGCUCUGGUUACCCCAUACACACUACACCGCCCAACCAGUGUUUUCAGGUUUACACACUCUGGAGAGCGUUUUAGAAAAGCUAUGUUUUCGGGGGAGAAAAAUGACGUUUCAGUGUGGACAGAGGGUCAAAACGAAGAGAAAAAGCUUCGGGUACGGAUUUAUCCGGUCUAGUGUGUACGUAGCCUCAGGCACCACUCACAUCAGGAUGCCUGUUAAUGACUAAACGUCUGUUGGUCACUUUGAGAGCUCGGUUGAUGUUCUCUUUCUUAGAGGUUGCAUUAGAGCUUAUUAUCAAUAUGUAAUAUUAUUGUUCUUGUGUAAGUCCAAAGGAAUGUUAUGUGCUAUGAGAUAACAGGGAGUGACCAUUAAAAUGUCUAAUUGAUUUAUGAGGAUUGUGAUAAUGGACACAGGGUGUGGCUGAAAAAGACAUGCUAUGCUGAGACAAAGGAGCGAAGAGCUUGUCUGUUUCUGGAUGCCCCUAUGCGCUUGUGGAACUCGUAUUUCUUGGGGGUGCCUUUCCUGGUUUUGUCAUACUUCAACCGAGGGCCAGAAAUCACGAUUGGUGCCUCCGACUCAGGGAGUCCAGUGGAAGGAUACACAAUAGAGCUGAUCUUUAGCUAACUCCAGGUGGGCUGGCACAUGGAUGGGAACUCCUUGUCUGGAGAAAGUGAUCUUCUUCAUGACUCAUCGCUUAAUCAAUAAUCAAGUCUGUUAUGUGUGCACUGACUUAUACUGAUGAACUGUUUGAAGCCAUAUGCUUGAUGCCUUGCUCGCAUACGUCCUUCACUGUAGAAAGAUCACACUGGAACUUUGCAACAUGGUUGGACAAUUCAUUCUUAAAUAUGCUAUUAACUGGAAUGUAACUCACCCAUGAGUCAUGAUCUUAAGCAUGACUUUUUGAAUGGCACCAAUGGGCAAUUGCAGAGAGGAGCAAAUCAGGACAUGUCAUGUUAUCUGUGAGACAUCGUAAUUGCAGCAAUGGCUCAGUACUGAACAUUUCAAGGAGCUAAUGGCUUACAUUGCUCAUUAUAUGUCUUUGAUCUAACCUUAAACUUUAUCUUAUUGCAAUAUUCUCAGUGCCUGACUCCAAUAAGUAAGUGACCUCUAUUUUCAUUAUUACAACAUGCACCCAGUUGUUUAUGCAUGUAGCUUCUUAAGAUAGUGUGAGAUGGUUAAGGAAGGAUAUAAAAGACAUACCUCCUUAUUUAAGGAAGGAUGCUAAUGUAUUAUUUCCAGUUCAGAGGGCUACUGAUUGAUACCUAGAAGGGCACGUUGGAAUUUAGAGAACUGAAUGGGUAUUUGAUUGAUACACACAUAACUGAAUGAUCUUGACAGCUUGCAUGUAAAGAGACUGUUUGUUGGAGAACCUAGAACUACAUUCAUGGUUUAAAAAUAGGAAGUCAUCCACUUAAGAUAGAUGAUGCUUGUUUGCCUUUCAGAUGUCUUUAGUCCUCUUUCUCAGAAGGCAUUGGAAAGGUGUCUUUGCAUAUUUCUAAAACAGAGGUUGAUAAAAGGUUAUUGCAGUUUAGUAGGAAUUAAAGGUUAAGGUUAUAAUCAGCUUUUAUUUAAUAGCCCAACAGAGUUAAGAAGUUGAGUGGUCUACUUCUAUUACUAUUUCAUGUCUUUAUACUAUAUGUUCAUGCUUAAGACCACUAAUAGGCAGAUAGUAGGCACAGGAACCAUUCUACAAUACCGUGCUCUGAAGACACACACGAUCAACAAGCAGAACUGUUCUUUAUGUAUUUUACCUCCACUUCUUGUUCAAUUUCCACCAUAGCUCUGGGUUGUUAGUGACAUCCUGUUCCAUCUAUAAAGGGUUUUUCACUGGACUGGGAUAUUGUCUCUUAACUCAUACAAUAGAUUUUAACCUUCAUGUAAUGCCAUUUAUAGCUCCAUCACCAUCACAAAUAGGCCACACUGUCAGUUUUGGGCUAUCACAUGAUCUUUGAAGUACAGAGUCAUGUUAUCAAUCUUAUUUUUUGUAUACACUGAUGGAUAAUUAUAAUGCAGCUGAAUUAUAUUUCCUUAUGUCUUUACGAUCUAAUAUUGUGUAACAAAUCUGGGCACAAUAUAAAGGGAUUGUAGUAUUAUCAAAGUGCUUCAUUUAGAUUAAAAAAUUCCAAUUGAAAAUCUUGAGAAGGAUGCAUUUAUCUUUGAAUUGAUGUAAACUAUGACACUUUCAACAUGAAUAUAUUAAUGAUACGAACACUCAGAGCAUUAAAAAAAUCCAGAGACUGGAAAGCUUCCUGACAAAGUGCAAGUGCUUUUGACAGCAGUGAAAUGAUAAAAUGAAUCUUCUCCAGUGCAACAUAACAUAAGAUAACCAAUAUCAUCAUCAUUUGUAACACUACACUGGAAAAAUUGUACAAACCGGAAAGAAAAUUAUUAGAACAAAGAAAUUAUUCAGAAAAAUUUUAAUAUGCUAGUUAGUAAAUUAUGGAACAUGAAAAUUGAUCCCAGCCCAUAAUGUAUUAAGGAUUAUAUUUAGAAAUGCAUUUUAUAAGAACGAUUUUUGUAUGUCAAAUCAGCUGAAGUAAUUUUUUUCCUCAUUUCUAUAUCAAAUAUGAAAAUGACAGUGGAACUAAUUGUUAGAACUAAAUGUAAUUCGCUAGUAAUGACCUGGGAAAUAAUUAACAUUCAUAUAGAUAAAAAUCAAAAAUGCAUCCAGAUUGAAGGGAAUUACUGCAAUGAUAUAGUCAUAAUGCCAAGAAAAAAUAAACCUAAUUAACCUCGGUGCUUGGGUCUUGUUUUCAUGUCUGCCACUGUUUACCAUAUGAUGCCGCAGAACACUGUAACAAAGUGGAAGACUUUUCCUGAGUGGUAGGAUAUAAUCAGCAAGAUGUAAGUUAAUAAGAGGGAGGAUAUUCAGGGUGGGCAGUUGUAUUAACUGGUUAGCAGUUCAGCAGUGGUCCAAAGGAAUUACCUAAAAGAAACCACUAACUUUUAAUGCUGUCUGCUGUAUCUCCAUUUAGUUUAGUGCUUGAGCCCAUAUCUGCAGGUUCUCGGGUUUCACCCCACUUCCUCAAAAUGUGAACUUAGUAGGUUAAUUGACUGCCGUAAAUUUCCCGUAAAAGUGUAUAGAUGAGUGUUAGAAGCUUGUGAGAAGUAGAGUUUGAAUUUAUUUAUUUAUUGACAUACAGCACGGAGUAUGCCCUUACAUAGAAACACAGAAAAUAGGUGCAGGAGUCAGCCAUUCGGCCCUUUGAGCCUGUACCGCCACUCAGUAUGAUCAUGGCUGAUCAUCCAACUCAGAACCCUGUACCAGCCUUCCCUCCAUACUCUCUGAUCCCUUUAGCCACAAGGGCCAUAUCUAACUCCCUCUUAAAUAGCAAACUGACCUCAACUGUUUCCUGUGCCAGAGAAUUCCACAGAUUCACCACUCUCUGUGUGAAGAAGUUUUUCCUAAUCUCAGUCCUAAAAGGCUUCCCCUUUAUCCUCAAAUUGUGACCCCUCGUUCUGGACUUCCCCAACAUCGGGAACAAUCGUCCUGCAUCUAUCCUGUCUAAUCCCUUUAAGAUUUUAUACAUUUCAAUAAGAUCCCCCCUCAAUCUUCUAAAUUCCAACGAGUAUAAGCCUAGUUGAUCCAGUCUUUCAUCAUAUGAAAGUCCCGCCAUCCCAGGAAUCAAACUGGUGAACCUUCUUUGUACUCCCUCUAUGGCAUGGAUGUCUUUUCUCAGAUUAGGGGA